rnacentral:rRNA from 1 species
GACGGAGGGUGCAAGCGUUGCUCGGAAUCACUGGGCGUAAAGGGCGCGUAGGCGGCCUUGCAAGUCAAAGGUGAAAUCCCUCGGCUCAACUGAGGAACUGCCUUUGAAACUGCAUGGCUUGAGGCCGGGAGGGGGUAGCGGAAUUCCCAGUGUAGCGGUGAAAUGCGUAGAUAUUGGGAGGAACACCAGUGGCGAAGGCGGCUACCUGGACCGGUUCUGACGCUGAUGCGCGAAAGCGUGGGUAGCAAACAGG